rnacentral:rRNA from 2 species
GGGCGGCGUGCUUAACACAUGCAAGUCGAGCGGUAAGGCCCUUCGGGGUACACGAGCGGCGCAACGGGUGAGUAACACGUGGGUGAUCUGCCCUGCACUUCGGGAUAAGCCUGGGAAACUGGGUCUAAUACCGGAUAUGACCUUCGGCUGCAUGGCUGAGGGUGGAAAGGUUUACUGGUGCAGGAUGGGCCCGCGGCCUAUCAGCUUGUUGGUGGGGUAAUGGCCUACCAAGGCGACGACGGGUAGCCGACCUGAGAGGGUGACCGGCCACACUGGGACUGAGACACGGCCCAGACUCCUACGGGAGGCAGCAGUGGGGAAUAUUGCACAAUGGGCGAAAGCCUGAUGCAGCGACGCCGCGUGAGGGAUGACGGCCUUCGGGUUGUAAACCUCUUUCAGCAGGGACGAAGCGAAAGUGACGGUACCUGCAGAAGAAGCACCGGCUAACUACGUGCCAGCAGCCGCGGUAAUACGUAGGGUGCAAGCGUUGUCCGGAAUUACUGGGCGUAAAGAGUUCGUAGGCGGUUUGUCGCGUCGUCUGUG